UACACGCUGUGACUAGCAUAUCAAUAAGCGGAGGAAAAGAAACUAACAAGGAUUCCCCUAGUAACGGCGAGUGAAGCGGGAAGAGCUCAAAUUUGAAAUCUUAAAGGGUUUCCCUUUACGAAUUGUAGUUUAAAGAAGUGCUUUCUGUUGAGGUUUUGGUAAAAGUUCUUUGGAAUAGGGCAUCAUAGAGGGUGAGAAUCCCGUAUUUGACCUUUACUUUCAACUUUGUGAUACACUUUCAAAGAGUCGGAUUGUUUGGGAAUGCAGUCCAAAAUGGGUGGUAAAUUUCAUCUAAAGCUAAAUAUUGGCGAGAGACCGAUAGCGAACAAGUACCGUGAGGGAAAGAUGAAAAGAACUUUGAAAAGAGAGUUAAACAGUACGUGAAAUUGUCAAAAGGGAAGCGUUUGACACCAGUGUUGUUUUUCUGAAAAUCAAUUAAAGAACUGUUUAUGCUAAGUUGUUUAGACUUUAUCAGCUAACUGUUUAGUUUUGAGCUUUUCUUUAAUGCACUUUUCAGUUAACAAGUCAACAUCAAUUUCUUUUGCUGUAAAAAAGCUUGAGGAAGGUGGCUUUGGAUUCGUCUUAAGUGUUUAUAGCCUCUUGCCUAUGCAGUCGGAGAGAUUGAGGUCUGCAGCGUAGAUCCUUCGGGGCUAAAUGCAUUUGUGCUAAGUUAUAGCAUUUUAUAGACAACUUGUUGACUAUGAUUUGUCUUGUAGCUUACUCGCUUAUGUUAUUUUACCUACGCUUAGGAUGUUGAAGUCAUCGUAUCGCGC
rnacentral:rRNA from 1 species